GACGAACGGAGGGAAAACAAACAAUUGAAUCAAACACUGCAUCAAACCCGGAUAAAGUAUGACAACACUGUAUACGCAACGACCAAAGACACAAGCCAGGAAAGAUCCGUGUCUGGUACCUGGGACUGAGUGUAGCUACUGCUGGCUCCGCUGCCUCCUUUAUUGUAGGAGCUCUGGCGGUUGUGGUUGUAGCUGCCUCCUGAUUGCGGGG